GCUUACGGCCAUAUCAGCCUGGGUACUCCCGAUCUCGUCUGAUCUCGGAAGCUAAGCAGGGUCGGGCCUGGUUAGUACUUGGAUGGGAGACCGCCUGGGAAUACCAGGUGCUGUAAACA
rnacentral:rRNA from 1 species